UACGUAGGGCGCAAGCGUUUAUCCGGAAUUAUUGGGCGUAAAGAGCUCGUAGGCGGUUUGUCGCGUCUGCCGUGAAAGUCCGGGGCUCAACUCCGGAUCUGCGGUGGGUACGGGCAGACUAGAGUGAUGUAGGGGAGACUGGAAUUCCUGGUGUAGCGGUGGAAUGCGCAGAUAUCAGGAGGAACACCGGGUGGCGAAGGCGGGUCUCUGGGGCAGUAACUGACGUGAGGAGCGAAAAGCGUGGGG
rnacentral:rRNA from 1 species